GACGAACGCUGGCGGCGUGCUUAACACAUGCAAGUCGAACGGAAAGGCCCUGCUUUUGUGGGGUGCUCGAGUGGCGAACGGGUGAGUAACACGUGAGUAACCUGCCCUGGACUUUGGGAUAACUGCAGGAAACUGGGGCUAAUACCGGAUAGGAGCUCCUGCUGCAUGGUGGGGGUUGGAAAGUUUCGGCGGUUGGGGAUGGACUCGCGGCUUAUCAGCUUGUUGGUGGGGUAGUGGCUUACCAAGGCUUUGACGGGUAGCCGGCCUGAGAGGGUGACCGGCCACAUUGGGACUGAGAUACGGCCCAGACUCCUACGGGAGGCAGCAGUGGGGAAUAUUGCACAAUGGGCGGAAGCCUGAUGCAGCAACGCCGCGUGCGGGAUGACGGCCUUCGGGUUGUAAACCGCUUUCGCCUGUGACGAAGCGUGAGUGACGGUAAUGGGUAAAGAAGCACCGGCUAACUACGUG
rnacentral:rRNA from 1 species